AUAUAAGAAGCAAUUAUGCAGUUAGUUUCGACCUAAAAGAUUGAUUUAUUUAAAUCCUUAUAUA